UGGGUAUUUACACAAACAGGGACAGCAAUUCCAACUCCCAAACCCUGGAGCUGUGAAGCAGCUGUGAUACCCACUGAGCUGACGUUGGCUGAGGAGUGGUGUAACAGCACACACCAAAGAGCACACACUGCUGUGGAGAGGGCUUUGGGCGUGUGGAAGAAGGACCAGGGAGAUGGAGAAUUCGGUACACACGCUUGGCCAGGAUGAGCUCUGGACCCUUCCACAAACGCCAGUCAGGAUAAGUGGAUGGCGGAUGGUUGUGAAGUAAAAUAUCAAGUAGUAGACGAAGACAGGAGGCCCGGGGAUGACUCCCGGUCUGUGGAAGGUGGUAUGGUCCUGAUACACUACUGAUGGUAUGGUAUAGCUGUCCAAGUAGCCGUUCAAUACCUCGA